GGAUUUGUUCGUCUUCGGCUGCUGCGGUGUGCUGUCGGCUCUCAUUAAGAGCUGUGAGGAGCCGGCCUCUCACCUCAGGACCUCUGAGGAAUGAAGCCGUCCUGUAAUAUGGGACUUGACAAGCAGUGUGUCUGUUUAAAUAUGCACACAGGGCCUCAUUAAUGGAAGAGUGAGCUGAAAGCCUCUUGUAGUUCACUCUGCAGAAGAGCUGAAUGUGAGUUAUUCUUAUUUCUUUAUCAGUACGGUACUGGGUAAGUCCAGUUUUUUGCUAGAAUACAAAGCUGUUUGAUCUCUUUAAUCUUCAAAUCAGGUCUUUCGUGAAAAUUAGAGUCUUGUUUGGCAGGGGUCAGGAUUUCACUCAGUGCGUUUACAUGCACAGUUUAAUUGGACUAAGCUCAUAAUUCUUUUUUUCCCUGCCUAAUCGGUCUUCUCUCCUUGACUGCAUAUACAUGCAGCUGAGAAAAUUGAAUUACUGACAUGAACUUGUCCUCCUCUCCAAAACUAGGGGGCGAUAUGGGUCUUUUCAGUGACGCCGUUUCUGACCCCAAAUGACUGUCAACAACAACAGCAGGUCGGUGCCAGACUUCAGAAGUGUCUACAACUGCUGCUGGGCAUUUUGGAGCAAGAAGAUGGAGCAUCGUACAGCAUUGUUUUUGUUGUACAUGAUGUACGCACUACUUUUUCUGCAGAUGAGAUGCACGCUACUCCUCUUCUCUGGUGUUUUUGUUUUGGAGUUACGGGGGCGUAGCGCGCAUGCGUUCUCCGAUCAUACGCCGGUUACAGUCGAGAAAACCGAAUUCCAAUCACAUUAUCUGGGUGUCUAAGUUGGAGUUCUCCAACUCCAAUCCGAGUUCUCAAUCUCCAAUUAUAGUCAAACUAAGGUGUUUACAUGCACUUCAGUUGUCCGGUCUUAAUCAGAGUAAGGCAAUAAUUUGGUUUUCUCAAGUGUCAUGUAAAUGUACUGAGUGUGUACAAAAGCCGGUUCUGGUCUCAGUUUUUGGUAUCUGCAGGAUAAAACAUCUGUAUGGAGAGCAAAAGCAGGCAGAACACAACCUGUAACCUGAUCCAUCUCUCCAUAUGAAGAGAUAUCUGCAUCAUGCAAGUGAAGCUCACACUCUUCUCACCCUGAAUUUCCACAGUACCCGGAACGGCUCCAAUCCGGA